AAUUGCAGCCAUGCCACCCUGAACACGCUCAAUCUCGGAAGCCGAGCAGGGUCGGGCCUGGUUAGAGCUUGGGAGACCGCCUGGAACUACCAGGUGCUGUAAAAA
ensembl:rRNA 5S_rRNA 5S ribosomal RNA